rnacentral:snoRNA from 1 species
CCGUCCAGCCACCAACUCUCGCUCCUCUCUCUCGAUCUGUGGUAGAGGGAGAGGGCUUGGGGUGGACGUAAAGCAGAAUGACUCUUACAUUAGGAGGGCUCUGUUGGAGUGGUGAGCUGCCCUCAAAGGCACAAGAGAACAUC